UGAACUCCAGAGUGGUGCACUGCCCACCCCCUUAAGGAGGUUUGAACCCAAAAUUUUCUGCCAUUGGCUUUGGAAAUAUAGUACAGUCAAGAGAUAUUUUCUACAGCACAGACGACACAGAGAGAAACGACAAAAAAGAAAAAAAGAAAAAAACACAACCUACUUAGACCAACAGAACUGGAUAGGGAGACAACAAUUUGAGAUCACUGACAUUCAAAUUCAGGGGGAAAAAAAAGUUGUCUCUAAUGGCACUUUUCCACUGCGUGGUAUGGCACGGGCGUUUUAGAGUGGGCGGGAUUAUUCACAUGUCGUUAUGGUUGCGCCGCCUCUACUGCCGUGACUCCUGAAAAACUUUUUUAUCCCACGUCGCCCCAUCAAGCUCUCGCUGGAUCCGCUCCUCUACUAUCAACAUCUGUACUUCCUCGUAAGAGCACAAAACAGCCAUUUUUUUGGUUGUUAAAAGAGUUGUGCUCAUUCAAACCGUUGCGUCGCAAGUUCAGUGACCCAGGUAGUGACGAUUCUCUCCAGCCAAUCAGUGAUCAGGAGUAUUUACCAUGCCACAUUUUGGUAACGGUAUGGUUAACUUGGAACCUCAACCGAGGUGGUACUAUAAAAAAAAGUACCAUGUACUGUACCCAGUGGAAAACCCCCAAGAAGUGAACCAUACCGUGCAGUGGAAAAGCGGCAUAAGAUGUUUAGGACAUGAAGCCCUGGGUGACAGACUUUAAGGCAAUAUAUUUUGUACACAUAAGUUCUGUGGCAAUGAUCCUUAAAGAGACAGUUCACCCAAAUAAUGAAAAUUGUGACUCACGGCCCAUUCACAGUAAGGGUGAUAAGUAUAAAACUUCAAUAAUCAUUCUACUUUCAUGACAACAGGGACACACUACAACUAUAACAAAUGAGAAACAGUAUAGAAAAAAACAAAAAAAAAAAACAUGACCAGCCAAUCAAAAUUCAUGCUUACAAUUAAACAAAACAUCAUUGUCUAUAGGUAUGGAUGCUUAUAUAGUCAUUUAGUUAUCAUUCCUGGAGCCCGUUCUUCAUACCUCACUUAAUACAUCUGAGAUCAUUUGAAAGAUGCCAGAUCUAAAAACAAAUUUGCGGAUUUGAUAAAAAUAUCUGGAUUAAGUUGUAACGUUGCACAGGCCAUCAGCAUAAAAAGAAAAGAAAUAAAAGGGUAAACAGCCAAAGGAUCGGUUUGUGA
ensembl:lncRNA